rnacentral:rRNA from 1 species
AUUGAACGCUGGCGGCAUGCUUUACACAUGCAAGUCGAACGGUAACAGGUUAAGCUGACGAGUGGCGAACGGGUGAGUAAUGCAUCGGAACGUGCCCGGUCGUGGGGGAUAACGCAGCGAAAGCUGCGCUAAUACCGCAUACGAUCUGAGGAUGAAAGCGGGGGACCGUAAGGCCUCGCGCGAUCGGAGCGGCCGAUGGCAGAUUAGGUAGUUGGUGGGGUAAAGGCAUACUAACCCGACGAUCUGUAGCUGGUCUGAGAGGACGACCAGCCUCACGGGGACUGAGAAACGGCCCAGACUGCUACGGGAGGCAGCAGUGGGGAAUUUUGGACAAUGGGCGCAAGCCUGAUCCAGCAAUGCCGCGUGCAGGAAGAAGGCCUUCGGGUUGUAAACUGCUUUUGUACGGAGCGAAAAGGCUCUCUCUAAUACAGGGGGUUCAUGACGGUACCGUAAGAAUAAGCACCGGCUAACUACGUGCCAGCCGCCGCCGUAA